UAAAUACUCCCUCCAUCCUAAAAUUAUUGUUUUGAAUUUAUCUAGAUAUGAAUGUAUCUAGUCACAUUUUAGUAUAUAUAUGCAUCUAUAUCUAAAAAAAUCUAAGACAAAAUUUUUGGAACGAAGGAAGUAUAAG
rfam:Hordeum vulgare subsp. vulgare, WGS project CAJW01000000 data, contig: morex_contig_1562843